GUGUGUCUGUCUGUUAGUGUGUGUGUGUCUGUCUGUUAGUGUGUGUGUGUUUGCCUGUUAGUGUGUGUGUGUGUUUGCCUGUUAGUGUGUGUCUGUUAGUGUGUGUGUGUGUUUGCCUGUUAGUGUGUGCCUGUUAGUGUGUGUCUGUUAGUGAGUGUGUGUUUCUGUUAGCUAGUGAAUGCGUAUCUGUCAGUGAAUGUGUGUGUAUUUA